AGCUCUGCAGUGUGUAGAACAUGUCGAAUUGCAAAUUCGGAGAAGCAGCAUAACCCCUGCCAGGGCUU
rnacentral:tRNA from 1 species